rnacentral:rRNA from 1 species
UACGGUGGGGGCAAGCGUUGUUCGGAAUUACUGGGCGUAAAGGGCUCGUAGGUGGCCAACUAAGUCAGACGUGAAAUCCCUCGGCUUAACCGGGGAACUGCGUCUGAUACUGGAUGGCUUGAGUUCGGGAGAGGGAUGCGGAAUUCCAGGUGUAGCGGUGAAAUGCGUAGAGAUGCGGAGGAACACCGAUGGCGAAGGCAGCCCCCUGGGCUGACACUGAUGCUCAGGCACGAAAGCGUGGGGAGCAAACAGG